CUGCAAAAAUGUCAAAAUAAAAAUAAAACAGUGUUAUCUUGUUGUGGACCAAACGAUUACGUAUUAUCAGAAGUUUACCAAACUAAUGUUGAAUUUGGUCUGGGCGA